GAUAGCCAAAGAUAAUACUUGGAUCAUAUGUAGGAUUAGUUAUUACUCGAACAUCUCCUCCACCAGGAGCCCAAGUAUCGUAAACACCUCCAAACCAUACAGCUUUAGCUACUAAUAAUAAUGCACCAAAGCCUAGAAGAACUAAAUGAAUACCUAAAAUAGUAGUCAUUUUGUUUUUAUCUUUCCA
rnacentral:antisense_RNA from 1 species